rnacentral:rRNA from 1 species
GACAGAGGGUGCAAACGUUGUUCGGAAUUACUGGGCGUAAAGCGCGUGUAGGCGGCUAUGCAAGUCGGAUGUGAAAGCCCUCGGCUCAACCGGGGAAGUGCACCCGAAACUGCAAAGCUAGAGUCUCGGAGAGGAUCGUGGAAUUCUCGGUGUAGAGGUGAAAUUCGUAGAUAUCGAGAGGAACACCGGUGGCGAAGGCGGCGACCUGGGCAGAUACUGACACUGAGGUGCGAAAGCGUGGGGAGCAAACAGG